UCUUUCCCUGGCUGGUCGAACUGCCUCUACAGUUGUCCCAUCCAGAAGCCACACACAGCAGCGGGCCUCAGGAAUUGCAUUCCUCGCAGUGACAGGAGAGGAUGUACCGGUAGGUGGCAGUGAGUCGCAUGCCCCCUGAGCAUCGCAGCCGCAGUGCCUUCAGCUUGGAAGUCUGGGGCCGGCAGCAGUGACAGGAGGAACGGAAGGGUUGCUUGAGGACAGUGCUGAACGACACCAAAGGCUCGGAGCGUGACGCCUGGCUGCAGUGCCCCUCGCACCUGGCCAGGAGCACCAUCUGGGGAAAGAAAAGGAGGUGGUUACUCUGUGGGCAUGCCACAACCUUAGCCAGCACUUGAACAUCUCCUGAUCUCUUCCGGAUCAGAGCUUCUCAGACUGGAAUGUGCGUGUGAAUCAUCUAGGAUCUUGUUAAAAGAGUCUCCAGCACCUUCCACAGCACCUGGACAUGAUAUUUCCCCCAGGAGUCAAUGGCAAAAGGAUGAAGAGAGAAGCAGACAUUCCAGUCCUGGCCCUUCUUCUGCACUGCCAGCAACUUCUCUUCAGAGCCAUGGCCAGGAGGCCGAAGUGCAUCCAGGCAUUCCCAUAGCGCUCCCACCCCAAGGCCUUUGCCGGAGAUGUUCGGGUCACUGUGAUGGUAUGCUCGUUCCUGCCAACCCGGUCACUCCAGCCCCGCUCUCGGCAGCCCAAAGGGCAGCUAAGCCAUGUGGCUGCUCCUCUCUUGUCAUUGGAACUCGAAUUAAGAUUGAAAACUCCACAGGCACAUUUCCAUCUGUGGGUGUCAGCUGCUUGGUACACAGUCGUAAGAAGGCCUCAGCCAGUUCUCCCGU
rnacentral:lncRNA from 1 species